rnacentral:rRNA from 1 species
UGCCAGCCGCCGCGGUAAUACGGGGGGUGCAAACGUUGCUCGGAAUUAUUGGGCGUAAAGCGCGUGUAGGCGGCUCGUUAAGUCUGAUGUGAAAGCCCGGGGCUCAACCCCGGAAGUGCAUUGGAAACUGGCGAACUUGAGUACGGGAGAGGAAAGUGGAAUUCCGAGUGUAGGAGUGAAAUCCGUAGAUAUUCGGAGGAACACCAGUGGCGAAGGCGGCUUUCUGGACCAAUACUGACGCCGAGAUGCGAAAGCGUGGGGAGCGAACAGGAUUAGAUA